rnacentral:tRNA from 1 species
GGGAAAAAAGCAAAGUGCAAAUUUGCAGAGGCAACGAAAAGGUGCCCCGGCU